rnacentral:rRNA from 1 species
UGCAGUCGGACGGUAGCACAGAGGAGCUUGCUCCUCGGGUGACGAGUGGCGGACGGGUGAGUAAUGUCUGGGGAUCUGCCCGAUAGAGGGGGAUAACCACUGGAAACGGUGGCUAAUACCGCAUAACGUCGCAAGACCAAAGAGGGGGACCUUCGGGCCUCUCACUAUCGGAUGAACCCAGAUGGGAUUAGCUAGUAGGCGGGGUAACGGCCCACCUAGGCGACGAUCCCUAGCUGGUCUGAGAGGAUGACCAGCCACACUGGAACUGAGACACGGUCCAGACUCCUACGGGAGGCAGCAGUGGGGAAUAUUGCACAAUGGGCGCAAGCCUGAUGCAGCCAUGCCGCGUGUAUGAAGAAGGCCUUCGGGUUGUAAAGUACUUUCAGCGGGGAGGAAGGCGAUGUGGUUAAUAACCGCAUUGAUUGACGUUACCCGCAGAAGAAGCACCGGCUAACUCCGUGCCAGCAGCCGCGGUAAUACGGAGGGUGCAAGCGUUAAUCGGAAUUACUGGGCGUAAAGCGCACGCAGGCGGUCUGUUAAGUCAGAUGUGAAAUCCCCGGGCUUAACCUGGGAACUGCAUUUGAAACUGGCAGGCUUGAGUCUCGUAGAGGGGGGUAGAAUUCCAGGUGUAGCGGUGAAAUGCGUAGAGAUCUGGAGGAAUACCGGUGGCGAAGGCGGCCCCCUGGACGAAGACUGACGCUCAGGUGCGAAAGCGUNNNAGCAAACAGGAUUAGAUACCCUGGUAGUCCACGCCGUAAACGAUGUCGACUUGGANGUUGUUCCCUUGAGGAGUGGCUUCCGGAGCUAACGCGUUAAGUCGACCGCCUGGGGAGUACGGCCGCANGGUUAAAACUCAAAUGAAUUGACGGGGGCCCGCACAAGCGGUGGANCAUGUGGUUUAAUUCGAUGCAACGCGAAGAANCNUACCUACUCUUGACAUCCA